GAUGAACGCUGGCGGCGUGCUUAACACAUGCAAGUCGAACGGAAAGGCUCCUGCUUGCAGGGGUACUCGAGUGGCGAACGGGUGAGUAACACGUGGGUGAUCUGCCCUGCACUUCGGGAUAAGCCUGGGAAACUGGGUCUAAUACCGGAUAGGACGAUGGUUUGGAUGCCAUUGUGGAAAGUUUUUCGGUGUGGGAUGAGCUCGCGGCCUAUCAGCUUGUUGGUGGGGUAAUGGCCUACCAAGGCGUCGACGGGUAGCCGGCCUGAGAGGGUGUACGGCCACAUUGGGACUGAGAUACGGCCCAGACUCCUACGGGAGGCAGCAGUGGGGAAUAUUGCACAAUGGGCGCAAGCCUGAUGCAGCGACGCCGCGUGGGGGAUGACGGCCUUCGGGUUGUAAACUCCUUUCGCUAGGGACGAAGCGCAAGUGACGGUACCUGGAGACGAAGCACCGGCUAACUACGUG
rnacentral:rRNA from 1 species